rnacentral:pre_miRNA from 1 species
CAACUGGGCUGCCUUCUCCGGUGAGAAGGCAACCCAGGUAGAAAUCUGCCUGGGUCGCCUUCUCCGGCGAGAAGGCGACCCACUGGGCUGCCUUCUCACCGGAGAAGGCAGCCCAGUUG